rnacentral:rRNA from 1 species
CAGUCGCCGCGGGAAUACGAAGGGGGCUAGCGUUGCUCGGAAUGACUGGGCGUAAAGGGCGCGUAGGCGGCCAUUCAAGUUAGAUGUGAAAGCCCUGGGCUCAACCUAGGAAUUGCAUUUGAUACUGUUUGGCUUGAGUUCGGGAGAGGUGAGUGGAAUUCCCAGUGUAGAGGUGAAAUUCGUAGAUAUUGGGAAGAACACCAGUGGCGAAGGCGGCUCACUGGACCGACACUGACGCUGAGGCGCGAAAGCGUGGGGAGCAAACAGGAUUAGAUACCCGCGUAGUCCCUGUCUCUUAUAC